CGCUUUGGGAGCCCCGGGCUACUCUUUCACAGCCCCUGUUGCCCUGUGAUCUGUAGGUCCUUGGGGACGCACAGUUAAGAUGACAGGACAUCCUGGAAGCUGGGAAAUGAUAUGUAUUCAUUUCCUACCACCGUAGUGGAAGAGAGAUUUUCCCUAUCUUUACAACUGAUAGCAUUUCCAACAGUAAGCUGUGAGAUUCUGCUUGAAAUCACCUCUCAAACAAAUAAAAAACAGACCUGGGAGACAUGCUACACUCAUUCUGCUGAGGAAAUAGGCAUCAUAGCUGGGAAACGGAUUCACAAGACCCAGGCUGUUCCCUACAUAUGUUUCCUCCUCCGACAUCAGUUCAUCAGUCAAUCAAGCCAUGUGAGAGUGGAGGCCUUGUAUUCCCUAUUAUUCUUGGGCACUCUACUCCAAGUAGGAAAAGGCCAGGAGGUCCUGUUAAAGGAUGCACUCAGAGCCCGGGCUCCCUAACAUAUGAGAGUGCUAACCAGCAGGUGUAGACUUUUCAGGAGUGAAGAAUGAGGCAGGCAUUCCAAACCUGGACCUUCAUCACCUUUUGUUUCAUCUCAAGACAAUUCUGAGGGACUGUUUUGGAGCGUGUCUGGAAGGUGAACCUUGAAGAAGAGUGUGGGCUUUGAUGUGACUCAGUUGAGAUCUUUCAUGGGGAGGCAGGAAUUCAAUGCCCAGAAUCUGGGCUGGUGUCUUUGAGGUCAGUAGGUUGCGUCUUUGUAUCCAAGUCCAUUGUUACUAGGUUGGAGGCUGGAGAUUCUAAAUGGCUUCCAGACCAUCUCUCUGAUUCUCUUUGGGAGAUGGGGUCUGAAAGACAAUGUCAGUAGUUUUGGGAAAUUCUAGAAAGUGUGCUUGGAAACGUGGGAAGAGCUCUUGCCUAGUGCCUAAAUGCUCCAUUUGCAGCUCUAGCCAAGUAGAUACUUGGUAGGUAUAGAGCCGGGUUUGCGUUUAUAUCAGCAAAACCUAUGUCAGAGUUGAAGAA
ensembl:lncRNA LINC03105 long intergenic non-protein coding RNA 3105